rfam:Picea glauca, whole genome shotgun sequence.
AUUGAAUGAAGAGAGCUUUCUUCCGUCCAACCGAGGAGGUUUAUAGGCUAUUUCAGCUGCUGACUUAUGCAAUCGUAUGCCAUGCUGAUGAUGAGAAUGGUGGCAGCAGCGCAACCGUCUGCAUGAUGCAGGAGCAGAAGAGUCUGGAUUUCUCUUCUCUUGGACUGAAGGGAGCUCCCUCUCAAAUUCCC